CACCGAGGAAGCAGACCCCACCGGGCUCCCGAGGCUGCCAGGCCCCCCGCUCAGGGCGCUGCCUGCAGAACCACGCCCCCCUGUCCCUGUGCUAAGAGGGUGACGCGAGUGCCCGAAGCCCUGGCCUGGUUACCAUUCGCGACUCCCUCGUCCUGGGUUCUCCCAUUGCCAGGAAUGUUUUACUAGUAACCAUGGUAUAGUUGAGACGAUCCACUCUUGUCCUACGCAUUUCGGCACAAUACAGGCGUCUAGGAGGCUUACCUGGCAUUGCCUGAGAGAAUCUUCCAUCCAUUUAAGUACCCAGUAACAGAGGGAGCAAAGCAAAUCUUAUCCUCAAAGAACUGCAGCUGCUUGUUAGAUCUACCUGGUGGUUCCAUAGAGAAACUGCUCAGAGAACCUGCCUUUACCUCGCCUAAAACAGAACUAUCCCGGAGCUCAGCAAAGGAGUCCAUUCAUCCUCUAUAACUGCUAUACAAUAUCUCUGUUAAAAUGCUGAGAAGAUUUAUCCUAAAAGAAGGCACCAAAGCAAUGGGGUUCAUCAACUCAGGAUCCAGUAGUGUAAUACAGAAGCCUGUUACGAGAUAUAAGGCACUUUGCCCUCGGAAAUCUCACUGUCGGAAUCCUUGGAAAUCACACCACGCACAACUUCUAUUUCUUCAUAAUUUGCAAAGAACCAGUGUGACUCCAGUCAAGAACAAAAGAUUAAUUGUGAAUUAGCGAAGAACUCUAAUUUUUUCAAGCAGCCACAUGGAAAACGCAUUCUAAUGAAAUCCUUUCCAUUGCUCUUUUUUCUUAGUUCUUCAAUAAAGCAUGCGAU
rnacentral:lncRNA from 10 species